rnacentral:rRNA from 1 species
AUUUUUGGCCAUACCACCCUGAACGCGCCCGAUCUCAUUUGAUCUCAGAAGCUAAGCAGGGUCAGGCCUGGUUAGUACUUGGAUGGGAAAUUCUUAGCUAUUAUUU